AACACCCUACGGGGGGCAGCAGUGGGGAAUAUUGCACAAUGGGGGGAACCCUGAUGCAGCGACGCCGCGUGGGUGAAGGAGUACUUCGGUACGUAAAGCCCUAUCAGCAGGAAAGAAAAUGACGGUACCUGACUAAGAAGCCCCGGCUAACUACGUGCCAGCAGCCGCGGUAAUACGUAGGGGGCAAGCGUUAUCCGGAAUUAUUGGGUGUAAAGGGUGCGUAGACGGGACAGCAAGUUAGUUGUGAAAGCCCUCGGCUUAACUGAGGAACUGCAACUAAAACUAUUGUUCUUGAGUGCAGGAGA
rnacentral:rRNA from 1 species